UACGUAGGGGGCAAGCGUUGUCCGGAAUCAUUGGGCGUAAAGCGCACGUAGGCGGAUUGUUAAGUCAGGGGUGAAAUCCUGGAGCUCAACUCCAGAACUGCCUUUGAUACUGGCAAUCUCGAGUCCGGAAGAGGUAAGUGGAACUCCUAGUGUAGAGGUGGAAUUCGUAGAUAUUAGGAAGAACACCAGUGGCGAAGGCGGCUUACUGGUCCGGUACUGACGCUGAGGUGCGAAAGCGUGGGGAGCAAACAGG
rnacentral:rRNA from 1 species